AUUUAUGGCCAUACCGCCCUGAGCAGCCCCAGUCUCUGAUCUUGGAAGCUAAGCAGGGUUGGACCCGGUUGGUACUUGGAUGGGAGAGCGCCUGGGAAUACCGGGCGCUGUAGGCU
rnacentral:rRNA from 1 species